CGAGCGCUGGGCACACCCGCUGCCCUGCCAGGGCUCCGCUGGGUUCCUCCAGGGCCCUCAGACUUUAGGGCAUGAGGUUCCCUUUCCCGGUUGCCCUGGACUGUGGUCCUCCCGGCCGAGGAAACUGAAGCUGGCCCUGGACUCCCUGAGCAGGACUGGAGCCACCUGUGACCUCUGUUCCAGGUUUUCAGAAGCAGGCUUCUCCAACUUUGCGAUGUACACCAGUCGUGCUGUGAACAGUGAUGGUGGACAUUCCAGCUGCGACUGUGGAUUGUACCUGGUCGACUGUGGAUUGUACUUUGGGCCAAACUAACCAGCCCUGAGGGUGUUCAGGCUAACAUGGCUUCCCCAGAAACAGCAGGUGCGAGAGCCCAUCCGUGUGGGGGUGUGAUUGACCAU